CACCAGCGCCUUGACCCGGGAAUCCACCGACGGGUGGGUCGCGAACAGGUCGGCGAAGCCUUCGCGCGGAUUGUCGAUGCACAUUUCCAUGACGGCGGAGGUCGCGCCCGGCAGUUCGCCGCGGCCCUCGAUCUUGCGCAGCGCUGAGAUCAUCGCGUCAGGGCAUCGGGGUCUUUUGUGAGUUCGACGGAGCCCGCGUCGGCCAGCAGUUCGCGCGAGCGCGACAGGGCAAAGCGCAC
rnacentral:misc_RNA from 1 species